UACGUAGGGUGCGAGCGUUAAUCGGAAUUACUGGGCGUAAAGCGUGCGCAGGCGGUUCGUUAAGUCAGAUGUGAAAGCCCCGGGCUCAACCUGGGAACUGCAUUUGAAACUGGCGGGCUUGAGUGCGGCAGAGGGGGGAUGGAAUUCCGCGUGUAGCAGUGAAAUGCGUAGAUAUGCGGAGGAACACCGAUGGCGAAGGCAAUCCCCUGGGCCUGUACUGACGCUCAUGCACGAAAGCGUGGGGAGCAAACAGG
rnacentral:rRNA from 1 species